rnacentral:sRNA from 1 species
ACGACAGCCCUGGAACCUGAAAUCCUCUAUUAAGCCACAAAGCAAGUGCAGCACCAGAAGGAGCAGUGCCCACGCUGUCCCACCAAUAUCUUUCAACCCUUAAGCUGAAGGGGCCACCUCUAAGGAUGAGAGUGGUAGUUCAGUCUCUAGGCCAGUUCAUUCUUUAGUCUUU